rnacentral:rRNA from 1 species
AAUAGAUACCCGGGUAGUCCACGCCGUAAACGAUGAGUGCUAAGUGUUGGGGGGUUUCCGCCCCUCAGUGCUGCAGCUAACGCAUUAAGCACUCCGCCUGGGGAGUACGGUCGCAAGACUGAAACUCAAAGGAAUUGACGGGGGCCCGCACAAGCGGUGGAGCAUGUGAUUUAAUUCGAAGCAACGCGAAGAACCUUACCAGGUCUUGACAUCCCGGUGACCACUAUGGAGACAUAGUUUCCCCUUCGGGGGCAACGGUGACAGGUGGUGCAUGGUUGUCGUCAGCUCGUGUCGUGAGAUGUUGGGUUAAGUCCCGCAACGAGCGCAACCCUUAUUCUUAGUUGCCAUCAUUCAGUUGGGCACUCUAAGGAGACUGCCGGUGAUAAACCGGAGGAAGGUGGGGAUGACGUCAAAUCAUCAUGCCCCUUAUGACCUGGGCUACACACGUGCUACAAUGGACGGUACAAACGGUUGCCAACCCGGCGAGGGGGAGCUAAUCCGAUAAAACCGUUCUCAGUUCGGAUUGUAGGCUGCAACUCGCCUAC